rnacentral:rRNA from 1 species
AUUGAACGCUGGCGGCAGGCCUAACACAUGCAAGUCGAACGAGUGGCGGACGGGUGAGUAAUGUCUGGGAAACUGCCCGAUGGAGGGGGAUAACUACUGGAAACGGUAGCUAAUACCGCAUACCAUCGGAUGUGCCCAGAUGGGAUUAGCUAGUAGGUGGGGUAACGCCUCACCUAGGCGACGAUCCCUAGCUGGUCUGAGAGGAUGACCCGCCACCCUGGAACGGAGACACGGGCCAGACCUCUACGGGAGGCGGGAGUGGGGAAUUUUGCACAAUGGGCGCAAGCCUGAUGCAGCCAUGCCGCGUGUAUGAAGAAUGCUUUCGGGUUGUAAAGUACUUUCAGCGAGGAGGCGUUACUCGCAGAAGAAGCACCGGCUAACUCCGUGCCAGCAGCCGCGGUAAUA